GCUAUUUUGGCAGAUAAGUGUAAUAGAUUUAGAAUCUAUGAAUGUAGUAUUAUAACUAUAAGUAGUA
rnacentral:tRNA from 1 species